rfam:Candidatus Buchananbacteria bacterium RIFCSPHIGHO2_01_FTLL_39_14 rifcsphigho2_01_scaffold_4255, whole genome shotgun sequence.
GCUCCUGUAGCUCAACUGGAUAGAGCGGCUCCGUCCUAAGGAGAAGAUUGCAGGUUCAACUCCUGCCAGGAGCA